rnacentral:rRNA from 1 species
AAUCAACGCUGGCGGCGUGCCUCAGACAUGCAAGUCGAACGCGAAAGGUUCCUUCGGGAACCGAGUAGAGUGGCGCACGGGUGAGUAACACGUAGGUAAUUUGCCUUUGGGUGGGGAAUAACAGCCGGAAACGGCUGCUAAUACCGCAUAAUGCAGCGGCUCGACAUCGAGACAGUUGUUAAAGCGGGGGAUCGCAAGACCUCGCGCCUAAAGAGAAGCCUGCGGCAGAUUAGCUAGUUGGUAGGGUAAUGGCCUACCAAGGCGACGAUCUGUAACCGGCCUGAGAGGGCGGUCGGUCACACUGACACUGACAUACGGGUCAGACUCCUACGGGAGGCAGCAGUCGGGAAUUUUGGGCAAUGGGCGAAAGCCUGACCCAGCAACGCCGCGUGAAGGAUGAAAUCCCUCGGGAUGUAAACUUCGCAAGAAUGGGAAGAAUAAGUGUGGGCUAUACCCCUCAUGAUGACGGUACAUUUGUAAGCUCCGGCUAACUUCGUGCCA